rnacentral:lncRNA from 10 species
GGCGCCCCAUGCUGGCAGUGGUAAUGCCGCCGGCUGGCAUCCGGUUGGCUGCGCGCUGGGAACGCCAGCGAGGCAGCGCCACCGGCUUGAGGAGGGUGAAAGUUCAAUUCUUGGCCCCUGAAGUUAGCGGAAGGGAACGGGCAUGUUUUGGAAAGGCCCGCCGGGAAUUCCCUCAGAAACCAGGCGAAGCUCCCUGCUGGGCCAGGCCCCCCUCGUGUGCUUGAGGAGGAUGGGAGCCCGGCCUCGGUUUGUUAUCCUAAUUAAGUGGAAAAUUAAGAAAAUAAUAGAAUAGCGUAAGUACUAAUAGUAAAAUUAUAGUAAGAGAAAUAACAAUAGCUAGAAUGGAAUGAAUUGCUGUAUUAACCAAGGCUAGAAAGAAUUUCAGCCCUCCGAAAGUUAAAGCGAGGGAAGAGAGAGACCCUCUCAUAUUGUUUUAUACUCAGUACCUGUUUUUUUUUUUUUUUUUAAAAAAAAAAGGAAGUGAAAUCAAAGACAGGCAGCCCAGCGCCAGGCCCAAAACUGGACCUGGGCCUGCCUGGCCUAAACCUAGUAGUUAAAAAUCAACUCAUGACUUAGAAACCGAUGUUAUUCAUAGAUUCCAGACAUUCUAUAGAAGAACAUUGUGAAACUCCCUGCCCUGUUCUGUUUCUCCCUGACCAUCGGUGCAUGCAGCCCCUGUCACGUACCCCUUGCUUGCUCAAAUCAAUCACGACCCUUUCAUGUGAAAUUUUAGUGUUGUGAGCUCUUAAAAGCGACAGAAAUUGUGCACUCGGGGAGCUCGGAUUUUAAGGCAGUAGCUUGCCAAUGCUCCCAGCUGAAUAAAGCCCUUUCUUCUACAGCUCCGUGUCUGAGAGGUUUUGUCUGUGGCUUGUCCUGCUACAGUCCUUGGUUCCCUGACCAGGAAGCGAGGUGACUGACAAGCCCUGUGGAGCGUCCCUGCAGAGGACUCCGGCCAGCCUGACUGACGCAAUCCAAAGAGCGCUCCCGGGUAGGAAAUGGCCCCGGUGGAAUGCCUUGCCAGAGCAGCGCAUAGCAGGCUCCCGAGAAGGAUUAACACUGGCUGAACACCGGGAAGGAACUGGCACUUGAAGUCCAGACAUCUGAAGCUUGUCAAGACUAGUUUUUGGAACUUGCCCCACUCCAUGUGAGUGGAAGCAUGGCCUGAUCACCCACGGUGUGCCUGUAUUGACAUCUUUGUUCUGGUUUUGACUUGGCUUGACUUGGUAAGACUAGUCUUUGGAACUUGCCCCACUCCACGUGAGUGGAAGCGUGGCCUGAUCACCCACGGUGUGCCUGUAUUGGCACUUUUGUUCUGGUUUUGACUUGGCUUGACUUGGUAAGACUAGUCUUUGGAACUUGCCCCACUCCAUCUGAGUGGAAACGUGGCCUGAUCACCCACAGCAUGCCUGCAUGGGCACUCUUGUUCUGGUUUUGACUUGACUUGAAUUGCUGGAUACUUUGGUUUUGGUUUUGACUUGGCUUGAAUUUUUUGGUACUCGGAUUUUGAAUUUCGUGAUUUUGGUUUGGUAUAAACGGUAAAAGUGUGUGUGCCCUCUUUACCUGUUCUUUGUCUUGUGGUAUGUGUGGUGUGAGCGUGGUAUUUUGUCUGGAAAAAAAAAAAAAAAAACAUGGGUCAGGUGCAAAGUAAGCCCACCCCACUGGGACCUAUGUUAAAAAAAUUUUUUUUCAAGAGAGAAUUUAAAGGAGAUUACGGUGUUAGUAUGACACCAGGAAAACUUAGAACUUUGUGUGAAAUAGACUGGCUAGCAUUAGAGGUAGGUUGGCCACCAGAAGGAAGCCUGGACAGGUCCCUUGUUUCAAAGGUAUGGCACAAGGUAACCUGUAAGCCAAAGCACCCAGACCGGUUUCUGUACAUAGACAGUUACAGCUGGUUUUAGACCCCCUUUCCCCCACCACAGUAGUUAAGAGAACAGCAGCAUAAGCGGCUGGCAGAGCCAAGGAACGACCAGAAAAGAGAAAAAGAGGCCAUCUGUACCAAUUCUAAGAGUUUAGACUAAACAAGUUCUUAUUAAUAGCAAAGGAUAAUUGAAAUCUCAAACUUACAAGGUUUUCAACAAAAGUGAAGUUUGCUAAAAGUUAACAGUGUAACAUGUAUUUUGGUAACUUCUAAUCUUGUGGCCUUAGACAGUCUAGUCCAAAGACAUAAAGAAAGUUCGCUUUUUUAAAAAGGAAAGAAAAGGG